rnacentral:rRNA from 1 species
AACGAACGCUGGCGGCAUGCCUAACACAUGCAAGUCGAACGAGACCUUCGGGUCUAGUGGCGCACGGGUGCGUAACGCGUGGGAACCUGCCCUUAGGUUCGGAAUAACUCCCCGAAAGGGGUGCUAAUACCGGAUAAUGUCUUCGGACCAAAGAUUUAUCGCCUUUGGAUGGGCAUGCGUUGGAUUAGCUAGUUGGUAGGGUAAAAGCCUACCAAGGCGACGAUCCAUAGCUGGUCUGAGAGGAUGAUCAGCCACACUGGGACUGAGACACGGCCCAGACUCCUACGGGAGGCAGCAGUGGGGAAUAUUGGACAAUGGGCGAAAGCCUGAUCCAGCAAUGCCGCGUGAGUGAUGAAGGCCUUAGGGUUGUAAAGCUCUUUUACCCGGGAUGAUAAUGACAGUACCGGGCGAAUAAGCUCCGGCUAACUCCGUG